rnacentral:rRNA from 1 species
AUUGAACGCUGGCGGCAUGCUUUACACAUGCGAGUCGAACGGCAGCGCGGGCUUCGGCCUGGCGGCGAGUGGCGAACGGGUGAGUAAUGCAUCGGAACGUGCCCAGUAGUGGGGGAUAGCCCGGCGAAAGCCGGAUUAAUACCGCAUACGACCUGAGGGUGAAAGCGGGGGACCGAAAGGCCUUGCGCUAUUGGAUCGGCCGAUGUCGGAUUAGCUAGUUGGUGGGGUAAAGGCUUACCAAGGCGACGAUCCGUAGCUGGUCUGAGAGGACGACCAGCCACACUGGGACUGAGACACGGCCCAGACUCCUACGGGAGGCAGCAGUGGGGAAUGUUGGACAAUGGGGGCAACCCUGAUCCAGCCAUGCCGCGUGCGGGAAGAAGGCCUUCGGGUUGUAAACCGCUUUUGUUCGGGAAGAAAUCCUCUGGGCUAAUACCCCGGGGGGAUGACGGUACCGGAAUAAUAAGCACCGGCUAACUACGUG